UACAGAGGUCUCGAGCGUUAGGCGGAAUCACUGGGCUUAAAGCGUGUGUAGGUGGAUCGUUAAGUACCUUGUGAAAUCCCACGGCUUAACCGUGGAACUGCUUGGUAUACUGGCGGUCUUGAGUCAGCUAGGGGCUACCGGAACAAAUGGUGGAGCGGUGAAAUGCGUAGAUAUCAGGAGGAACACCGGUGGCGAAGGCGGGUCUCUGGGCCGAUACUGACGCUGAGGAGCGAAAGCGUGGGGAGCGAACAGG
rnacentral:rRNA from 1 species